UCGUACAGUAUACACACGACGGCCGUCAAAAGUAGCACAAUCAAUAUUUUCACGAUCAACUGCUGAUCUUCAACUUUCCCACGCCGCCACGCCAACUGACAGCAGCAGACAGUUAUUGGACACGACACACCCUGUGAUGAUUGCGAACAUGGCAGAUUUGAGAAAGUGCAGACUGUAACGUGUUACUUUGCUUUCAAAUUUGAUUGAGAGGAUAUCAGGAUGGGUGGCUGUUUCUCCAGCAACACAACAGCUGAAGGAGGCUCUACACAGCAAAGGACAAAGGUCAGAGUGAACCUCUUCAUGCCUGGAAGGAGAGGAGGAGGAGGAGGAGGGCAUGCCCCUAAGAAGUCUCCAAGAAAGGGAACCAAUACCCUCUGACGUGAGAUCCGAAAUCAGUAAAUCAUCAAUUUGAACCUCUGAACUGAUUUGAUGAACCGAACAAUGGAAUUAAUGUAACCACUCAGGGGGUUUAGACAUCUUGGUUAGUAUGGUGAAAACUGCAAACUUUGCUGAAAUAACCAAAUCUGAUUUUGUGAUCAUACUUCAUUCCUCAUCUGAAAAUACCCUCUAAUGUGAGAUACCAAAUCAAUUAGUGAUCAACUUGAAACAGCUGAACCAAAUUGAUGAGCUGAAAAAUCAGAUAAACCACUCAGGGGUUUAGACGUCUUGGUAUGGUGGAAACUUGAAACUUUGCUGAAAUAGCCAACUCUGAUUUUGUGAUCACUCUUCAAAUCAUUCCUCAUCUGACGCUACUUUUAACUGUUUGUCAUCACUACCGACUGCUACAUGUUUUUAAACUGAAGGAUAGUUUUGGGUUUGAACAAAGAAAAAAUGACUGUUGCAGGACAUUCAACCAAUGACAUUCCGGAUUAACGUACUGGUGCUCUUCCAACUGCAUGCAUCUUCAAAUAAAUCUGUCUGCUCCCACAAGGAAUUUCUUCGCUAUUCACAAACUCUAGUUCGAUGCCAUUUUGAUUGAAUAACAUCAGAAUCCAGGAAUGAAAUCAAAGUUUUCUUUAAAAAAAUGUACAGACCAUAAUUUUUGAAAUUAGACAUCAAAAGAUUUUUUGAUUUUGUCAAAAAUUGUGCUUGAAGGGGUAUACAAACGCAUUUACUCCAUUUUACUGGGAGGUUAAUUUUUUUGAAAAAUUUCAGAUGGACUCUCAGGCCUGGAAUAGACCGAUCCAUUAGGCUCCGCCCACGACGCACGUGUGAGCGGAGAUAAAGAUUUUCCACUGGAAGUGCCCUUUACCAAAUGAAAAUGGCCUGGCCCUUCUAAAGGCGAAAUUCCUUGCCUGGACUCUAUCUAUUGGAUUUGAAUUUGGAACCCCUCUUAAGUAAUGAAAAUACUGAUAAUGCAAUCUAAUGUGUCUUACUACUAAUGUUGGCCAGUCUAAAUUUGAGAGCGUUUGCAACUGCAGUUGUCUUUAGUUGAAAAGAGUUUUGAAUUUUAUAACUUUCCAUAGGGUUCAAUAUUGUUGAAUCCUACAAAUUUUACUUGACAAAAAUAUGAACAAAAGCAUUUACUUCAAAUAGCUUUACACAACAAAUUCUUCAAUUAAUUUAGGUUAUUGUACUUUUAAAAAAACCUUUUUUGAUACAUAAGUAACAAGACAUUAAGCAUCUGGGCAAGACACAAUGCAACAAACAUCUACCUUUUCAUCAUUUAUGUUUAAAACGGCUCUUCCAAGUUUUUUUUUUCUUCUUCCAGUGUUUUAUAGUGUGGGUUUGUGGCACACUCUUUUGAUAAAGAAAUUGUUGUUCAUAUUGUUUGUAAAGUAUAAAAUGUUAACUGUUAAUACUAAUAUUAUUUACUUAGCACUAUCAAUUUUGUCAUUUCCACUAAUUUAUUGUCUGUAAGUGAUGUGUAUUGCAGAUACUCAUGUAUUUAAUGUGUUACAAGUAGUAUUUGAUUAACAAAUUAAAGUUUAUUAAAGUUUAUUAUCUGAAAAUUUACUUUAAAUUUGUAAUUGACAAAGACCAGUAUUUGCAUAAAUUUAUAAUCUGAAAAAUUACUUUAAAUUUGUAAAUUUCAACGUCCAGUAUUUUCACUUUAUGUGACCCCAACAGUACAUGAAAUAACCAACCUGUGAAUAUUUCAGGUCAAUCGGUGAUCAGAGUCACAGGAGAAAGGUGACGACCUCUUGAAUAUCUUUUCACCGAACAUCGAAUUUUGGGUAUCGAAGAUCAAAUUAAGUAAAACUAAUUGUACUUACUAAAUUAUCAAAAACUAAACCAUUUCAGGGAAAAGAUAUUUCUGGGAAAGUAUUCAACUAUGACAUGACCAUCUCUAUACAUGCAAGUUGUGCAAAUCUGUAAAAAAAAAAAUAUGUCCACACCCUUUAAAUGAAAACAAACUUGUAAAUAA